rnacentral:rRNA from 1 species
UUAGUGGCGGACGGGUGAGUAACGCGUGGGUAACCUGCCUUACACAGGGGGAUAACACGUUAGAAAUAGGUGCUAAAACCGCAUAAGCGCACAGCUUCGCAUGAAGCGGUGUGAAAAACUCCGGUGGUGUAAGAUGGACCCGCGUCUGAUUAGCUUGUUGGCGGGGUAACGGCCCACCAAGGCGACGAUCAGUAGCCGGCCUGAGAGGGCGGACGGCCACAUUGGGACUGAGACACGGCCCAGACUCCUACGGAAGGCAGCAG